rnacentral:rRNA from 1 species
GCCUGCCCAGUGACAAACUGUUCAACGGCCGCGGUAUUCUGACCGUGCAAAGGUAGCGUAAUCACUUGUCUUUUAAAUAAAGACUGGUAUGAAAGGCACCACGAGGAUUCAACUGUCUCUCUUAUUUAGUCAGUGAAACUGAUCUUCCAGUGCAGAAGCUGGAAUAACUACACAAGACGAGAAGACCCUAUGGAGCUUUAAACUUUUGGUUGGGGCGACCACGGAGAAUAAAAAAUCCUCCGAGAAGAAUAAAAAAAGAACGACAGUUCUAAAUAUCAGAAUAUCUGACCUGCUUGAUCCAGUCUUACUGAUCAACGAACCAAGUUACCCUAGGGAUAACAGCGCAAUCUACUUAGAAAGUUCAUAUCGACAAGUAGGUUUACGACCUCGAUGUUGGAUCAGGGCACCCUAGUGGUGCAGCCGCUACUAACGGUUCGUUUGUUCAACGAUUAAAGCCCCAGGGAACUACGAGCAUUA